AGAGAGCUCUUAGAGAAGGUAAACACAAUGAGUCCUUGUGGCAGCCACCAACAGAAUACAAGACAAUCCAGCUGACUGAAGAACAACUACAGAAACGACAACAAAGAGCAAAGAAAAGGAAGCAGCAAGCACAUGAGAAAAAAGAAAAAGCCAAAAAACAAACUGUAGAGAGGUUGUUGAAGAAGCAAGAAAUAAAAGGCAAAGGAAAGACUCGUGGUUCAAGAAAAUCUGAGAUCCCUAGAAUACGAUAUGUGAAUAACCAACAGGUGUGCACUAUAUCAGUGCCCCAGGGUUUCCAGUUUCCAUACCAAACUCAGCUACAGAAACAGCCGCCCCCACCAAGGCCCAGUUGUGGAGUGGAAGGGUGCACAAAUGCAAAGACUUACACUUGCUCCAAGACUGGAGUUCCUCUCUGCAGUUUACAGUGCUAUAAAAAGAACCUCAGUUCACUUCCUGAGACUAAACAAGUUUUAGUGACAUGACAAAUAAGCUGUUUGGUAAUUUUGUGAAAUGGGAGAGUGAUUUUUGAAAGGGUUUGACAAUUUUUGCAUCCAUCAUUCCUUGUAUCCAGUGUUUGUCAAGCCAUAUAACUGUUGCUGGCAUGUUAGAAAACAAACAA